CAGAAAGAGGCGCCUCACUAGAAACCAAUCCUGUUGGCACCUUGAUCUUAGACUUCUAGCUGCCAGAACUAGAACGGGACCACCCAUCUUGAUGUACUAUUUGUGCAAAUAAUGGAAAAGCAUCCCUGUCUCAAGACACUUGACAAUAACCUGCUAGAAAAUUGUCAUAACAAACACACAAUGGGCAUUUAUCAAGAGACAAGAGAAAUGGCUUAGACAGAUCUCAACUUCAUCCAACUGUUUUUC